GAUGAACGCUGGCGGCGUGCCUAAUACAUGCAAGUCGAGCGAACAGACGAGGAGCUUGCUCCUCUGACGUUAGCGGCGGACGGGUGAGUAACACGUGGAUAACCUACCUAUAAGACUGGGAUAACUUCGGGAAACCGGAGCUAAUACCGGAUAAUAUAUUGAACCGCAUGGUUCAAUAGUGAAAGACGGUUUUGCUGUCACUUAUAGAUGGAUCCGCGCCGCAUUAGCUAGUUGGUAAGGUAACGGCUUACCAAGGCAACGAUGCGUAGCCGACCUGAGAGGGUGAUCGGCCACACUGGAACUGAGACACGAUCCAGACUCCUACGGGAGGCAGCAGUAGGGAAUCUUCCGCAAUGGGCGAAAGCCUGACGGAGCAACGCCGCGUGAGUGAUGAAGGUCUUCGGAUUGUAAAACUCUGUUAUUAGGGAAGAACAAAUGUGUAAGUAACUAUGCACGUCUUGACGGUACCUAAUCAGAAAGCCACGGCUAACUACGUG
rnacentral:rRNA from 1 species